UUAGUGUAAAAUGUCUUGAAAUACUUUCAGCAUGAAGUAUUGUGUGAUGAAAAAAAUGUGUAUUUACUACAAUGUGUAAAUCAACAAUAAAGGAGAUUAAAAGUGGGUGGUUAAAGACAUAUAAAGUGAUAUGGUCUAGUUCAACAACUGCCUGUAUUUUUGGAAUACUGAAGAACAGUCUGUUGUAACAGGUUAAACCCCAUGGAAAGAAUGUGCAUCAUCGCAUCGCCUGCCAAAAAAGGGAGCAAAAAAGAGACUACCUGAUGUAUGGACUUGAAUACCAGGUUUUACCCUGCACAAGCUGGCCGACAUGAGAAGAACAGGAGUGGGAAAACCGCGCCCUCUCCUUGACCAAGAAAAGCUGGAUUUGUUUAGAGGACCUGAUCAAAUGAGAUCAUGCACGAGACGCAUCGCGCAAAGGCCAUGACAGUAUAAUUGUUGCAAAGAAGUUUGACCGGCUAGUGGCAGACUUGGAGAGAAAGAUGAGAGCUGCACUCCGCUGCCUCAAAGAAAUGCUGAAAGGCCUUGAUUGAUAUGCAUCUUUCUUAUGUAUAUAGCUGUUCGUGUGUAUAUACUGUACAUGUUAUUAUAGUAUGCUAUUAUUUUUUGUUUAUUUAUAAUCAAAUUAUGUUUAUAUUUAUUUCAUCAAAUUGCCAUUGAUAUUUAAUUACUCAUGUAUGUUAAAAAAUGUUGGUGUACAUUAAAGUAUAAAAUUGAA